UUAGUCAUUUAGCAGACGCUUUUAUGCAAAGCGACUUACAAAUAAGGACAAUGGAAGCAAUCAAAAACAACAAAAGAGCAAUGAUAUACUAGUGCUAUAGCAAGUCUCAGUUAGCUUAACCACAGUACACGUAGCGAGGGCUUUUAAUAAACAUAACAUGAGAAAACAUGAAUAUUUUACAGGAUCUCCAGGAGGCCACUCCUUAAACACGUCAGUGCUCCAUUUUAAAGCAGAGAGUCGAGGAUUGUCAGUAAACAGAAUGAAACCUACAAUGAACCAGUCAGACACCAGAUGUGUCUUGGCAAUAUUUGUGGCUGCAUCGAGUACUCUAUGUGUAGCAGCAUGCCCAGAGAACCAUUUCCAAGUUCAAGAAAACCUGUGCUGCUUGAACUGCCAAAAUGGUGAGUAUGUUGCUCGCAACUGCUCUGAGGGACCCAGAGGCCACAUUGGUGUGCUAUGUAAUCUAUGCCGCAGAUGUGAUGAAAUUGGAGAGAUAACUGUUUCCAAUUGCACACGGUUUUCAGACACACAGUGUGCCAGCAUACACAGUAAGUAUUGCACUUACCUUGCAAUUUUGUCAGUUUUUCAAACAUUAUAUGACUGUGUUGAGUGGGGUGGGGUCAAGAGCCAUGGGAACAGAGUGAGGCCGGGGGAGUAAUGAGAAUGUGCGACAUCUGC